GAUGAACGCUGGCGGCGUGCCUAAUACAUGCAAGUCGAGCGAAGCGGGGACGGGUGAGUAACACGUGGAUAACCUCCUAUAAGACUGGGAUAACUUCGGAAAACCGGAGCUAACCCGAAUAAUUAUCGCUGGAUCCGCGCUGCAUUAGCUAGUUGGUAAGGUAACGGCUUACCAAGGCAACGAUGCAUAGCCGACCUGAGAGGGUGAUCGGCCACACUGGAACUGAGACACGGUCCAGACUCCUACGGGAGGCAGCAGUAGGGAAUAUUCCGCAAUGGGCGAAAGCCUGACGGAGCAACGCCGCGUGUAUGAUGAAGGGCUUCGGAUCGUAAAGCUCUGUUAUUAGGGAAGCGUUACCUAAUCAGGAAGCCACGGCUAACUACGUGCCAGCAGCCGCGGUAAUUC
rnacentral:rRNA from 1 species